UGCACGGUCGUACACAGGAGGGUGAUACCAUUUGUUGUGACGUUACACCGGAUUAUACGGAACAACCGGAUUGCUUGUUUUGUUUAUAAUUUCUAUUUGUGAAUAUAUGACUUCGUUUGCAUGAUUCCUUUUUAAGUCUACGGGAUAUAUAUUAUUCCGUUUGUGUUCUUUUUCAGUGUGUUUCUAAUAUUCGUAUACGUUUAUAUGUAUAAAUCGGUGAACGCGGAGAAUGUACACAAUAUGACAAUAAUAUAACGCCAUGUGUUCUAGGUAUUCAUGUUCUGUGGUUGGCUUGGGUCUGGUCCGUCUGGAGGAUUUUGCAGGACAUCUGCGCGUUUACUUCCGGGAUGAUCUAAUACUGCUUAUGUUAUGGAAGCAGUUCCAAAAAUGAACUGGGUCGGGGGGAGAGCAGCCAACAUGUGACAUUUCAAAAAGUUACACUAGUCUUCAAGAAGCCAAGGUUGCUGAGUUUAAAAUGUUUUACGUGAAUUUGCUGGAAACCUUUAUGUAUUAUAAUACUGCUGGCAUUAAUCUAGAGGGGAAAGCUUUAGAGGAACUUAUUUUGGGCGUUUUUUUUCUUCGUGUGGUUUGAAAACAACGGAGAAUUUUUAGCAUUUUUGCUAUCACUCCAUUUAAACAGAAAUAAAGCCUUGUUUUUAUGUAUG